rnacentral:lncRNA from 1 species
AAGUAUCUAGAAAAUAAAUUUUAUGAUUUUACGAUGUCAUUUGCAUAGUGAACGAAUGGGCUCAAAAUCAACGGCUGAAAAUAAAAAUCUUACAAAAUAUAAUAAUAUGACAUUAAUAUUUUAAAUCAAAGAUAUUGAUCUUGUUUUGUAUAGUAUAAAUUUUCUAUCAAAAUUUCACAUGAUUUGAAUAUUUCUACACCGUUAAACUUGUAAACAGCUCACUACGGCCAUUAAAAUUUGUUGAUUUUGAGCCCAUUCGAUCACUAGGCAAAUGAUAUCGAAAAAUAAUAAAAUUUAUUUUCUAGGUACCUCACUCUAUAUAUAUAUAUAUAUAUCACUACUAGUAAAAUGUACGUUCAAAUGCACGUAAUAAUUAUUAGAAAAAGUUAUAAUUUUUUUAAAUUAUUUUUUAAUUUUAGGCCAUAUUUUAUAUGAUUACCAAAUAUAUAUCUAAAAAAUUUAAAAUAAUAAAUCACACUAUUAAGAAAGAUAUGCUUUAAAUGAUAAAUAAUUAACAAUAAUCUCUAAUGCAAAAAUUACUUUUAAAAUUAAAAAGAAAAAUAAAAUCUGUUAGAAAAUAAAUUUUUGAAAUUAAAUAGAAAAAUAAAAUCCGUUAUCUUAAAAAGAAAAUAUAUUUUGAAAUUAAAUAGAUAAUAUCUAAAAAAGAUAUUUUAAAAUAAAAUAGAAAAAUAUCUUUUAUAGAAUUUUCACACCCAUAAUCUGUUAUAGAAAACUUAUUUUUGAAAUUAAAUAGAAAAAUUUAUAUUUUAGGAUUUUCACAUCAGUAAUCUGUUAUAGAGAACUUACGUAUUCAUUAUUGUUUCUAUUUUUAUUUUUAUUCUUAUAUUUAAAAUUUUUCGUACGGAAAGAGAAAAAUGGGCGCUAAUUUUCCCACCGAAAAAUGGGUCUGUCGACAGACCCAAAUUUAAAUAUACGUGCUUUUAUAUAUAGUAUAGAUUAUUGGCCACUAUAAACGA